ACUUCCACAUAGUUGAAACACUUCUCUAGAAUUAGAUUUUCCUCAAGCUACCCACCCACUUCUCUUUUGCGCUUCGCUUGGUGCUCACCAUUCUGUCAAUCGGUUUUUAUUUGUAUUCAAAGUAAUAACUCAACUUUGGCUUGACUGUCCAGAGAAACUGCAUGGGUUUCUCGACUAAAGGUCAGUUUCCAUAAGGAAAGACACCAAUAAUUCUAGAGCAAAGUGAAGUAUAACAGAGUCAUCGAUCAUGCCACAUCUUGGGGAUUGACGGUAUUGCCUAUAACUUGAUAAUAAAAGGACCGAGUUAUUAUGUUCUUCAAGAUUUAUAUAAUGAAGGAUCUGUACUCGUGCCAUAUAUGUGAACUCAAGCAACUUAGGUUGCUCCAUGCUUCCAUUGACUUGAUGCGUCAUGAACUUCGAAAUUCUUCAAACAUGCCUGUGGUAAAGUGCCUGAAUUUCCUUCUACUUCUGUUCUCAAGUUUGAUAAAAUUUGUGAACUUGGCAAUAUUAUUGUUUCUUGGUGCAACAUAAAUUUAUGUUCUGCUUGGUAUUCUCUUCUUUCAAUAAUUUUUUAUCCUUGAGAUGUUGUUUCUUUUUAUCUAUUAUUUUGGG